rnacentral:rRNA from 1 species
UGGGGAAUUUUACGCAAUGGGCGAAAGCCUGACGGAGCAAUGCCGCGUGGAGGUGGAAGGCCUACGGGUCGUCAACUUCUUUUCUCGGAGAAGAAACAAUGACGGUAUCUGAGGAAUAAGCAUCGGCUAACUCUGUGCCAG